GAUGAACGCUAGCGGCAGGCCUAAUACAUGCAAGUCGAGGGGUAUGGGUUGCUUGCAACCCAGAGACCGGCGCACGGGUGCGUAACGCGUAUGCAAUCUACCUUAAUCAGGGGGAUAGCCCGGAGAAAUCCGGAUUAACACCGCAUAACAUUGAGUUGUGGCAUCACAGUUCAAUCAAAUAUUUAUAGGAUUAAGAUGAGCAUGCGUGACAUUAGUUAGUUGGUGAGGUAACGGCUCACCAAGACCACGAUGUCUAGGGGAUCUGAGAGGAUGACCCCCCACACUGAUACUGAGACACGGACCAGACUCCUACGGGAGGCAGCAGUAAGGAAUAUUGGUCAAUGGGCGCAAGCCUGAACCAGCCAUGCCGCGUGCAGGAAGACGGCCCUAUGGGUUGUAAACUGCUUUUGUACCGGAAUAAACCUUCUCUUGCGAGAGAAGCUGAACGUACGGUAAGAAUAAGGAUCGGCUAACUCCGUG
rnacentral:rRNA from 1 species